CUCAGCACUGCCAUUGCCGCUGCCCUUCUUCCUUUCGCCCACCGCCAAACGCCGCUGCUCACCGCGCCCACCGCCGCCGCUCACCGAGCCCACCGCCGCUGCUCGCCUCGCCCAUCGCCGCUGCUCGCCUCGCCCUCCUCGCCGACCGCUGAACGUAGAACGCAAACAGCUAGCCGACCCUUGCUCCGCAGAACGCAGUUGCGUCCGCCGUGACCAUCGCCGCCGCGCCCAUCGCUGCCGCUCCGCCUCGCCCUCCGCCGCUAUUCGGCUCUGCUCUCCUCUCCGAACGUAGAACGCAAACACCAGGCGAGAAGAAGAUUGUUCCAAUGGAAAAUGUGAAUGGGCGCAAACUUGUAGAGAAGGGGGAGCUUUGUGAAAGAAUUUAAGAAAUGGAAGAGGAGUUGAUCUCAAUCGGAAUUGGAGUGUAGAUUGGGGCAAAAAAGAGAAGGUGGGUGGAGGAGAUCAUGUUGAUGGUUUCAAGACUUUGAUUUUGCUAGACUUUCAAAAUCAACCAAAAAAGCUACUUUAACACCUUUGUUAUGUUAUUACAAUUUUGAUUUUAUAGUAUUGUGUUUUGAUGAUAUAAUUAUUGUAUUAAAGUGUGACUUAAAGUAUUGUGUUAGUAUAAUUUGAUAAUAGUUUAAUUUUAUGAAGA